GACGAACGCUGGCGGCGUGCCUAAUACAUGCAAGUAGAACGCACAGUUUAUACCGUAGCUUGCUACACCAUAGACUGUGAGUUGCGAACGGGUGAGUAACGCGUAGGUAACCUGCCUGGUAGCGGGGGAUAACUAUUGGAAACGAUAGCUAAUACCGCAUAAUAUUGAUUAUUGCAUGAUAAUUGAUUGAAAGAUGCUAUUGCAUCACUACCAGAUGGACCUGCGUUGUAUUAGCUAGUAGGUGAGGUAACGGCUCACCUAGGCGACGAUACAUAGCCGACCUGAGAGGGUGAUCGGCCACACUGGGACUGAGACACGGCCCAGAUUCCUACGGGAGGCAGCAGUAGGGAAUCUUCGGCAAUGGACGAAAGUCUGACCGAGCAACGCCGCGUGAGUGAAGAAGGUUUUCGGAUCGUAAAGCUCUGUUGUAAGAGAAGAACGUGUGUGAGAGUGGAAAGUUCACACUGUGACGGUAUCUUACCAGAAAGGGACGGCUAACUACGUG
rnacentral:rRNA from 1 species